GAGUAAUAUAUCGGAACGUGCCCUGGAGUGGGGGAUAACUAGUCGAAAGACUAGCUAAUACCGCAUACGAUCUAUGGAUGAAAGUGGGGGAUCGCAAGACCUCAUGCUCGUGGAGCGGCCGAUAUCUGAUUAGCUAGUUGGUGGGGUAAAAGCCUACCAAGGCAUCGAUCAGUAGCUGGUCUGAGAGGACGACCAGCCACACUGGGACUGAGACACGGCCCAGACUCCUACGGGAGGCAGCAGUGGGGAAUUUUGGACAAUGGGGGCAACCCUGAUCCAGCAAUGCCGCGUGAGUGAAGAAGGCCUUCGGGUUGUAAAGCUCUUUUGUCAGGGAAGAAACGGUUCUGGCUAAUACCCGGAGCUAAUGACGGUACCUGAGGAAUAAGCACCGGCUAACUACGUGCCAGCAGCCGCGGUAAUACGUAGGGUGCGAGCGUUAAUCGGAAUUACUGGGCGUAAAGCGUGCGCAGGCGGUUGUGCAAGACAGAUGUGAAAUCCCCGGGCUCAACCUGGGAAUUGCAUUUGUGACUGCACGGCUAGAGUGUGUCAGAGGGGGGUAGAAUUCCACGUGUAGCAGUGAAAUGCGU
rnacentral:rRNA from 1 species